CCUACGGGUGGCUGCAGUGGGGAAUAUUGGACAAUGGGGGGAACCCUGAUCCAGCCAUGCCGCGUGUGUGAAGAAGGCCCUCGGGUUGGAAAGCACUUUCAGUGAGGAAGAACGCCUGGUGGUUAAUACCCAUCAGGAAAGACAUCACUCACAGAAGAAGCACCGGCUAACUCCGUGCCAGCAGCCGCGGUAAUACGGAGGGUGCGAGCGUUAAUCGGAAUUACUGGGCGUAAAGCGCGCGUAGGUGGCUUGAUAAGCCGGUUGUGAAAGGCCCGGGCUCAACCUGGGAACGGCAUCCGGAACUGUCCAGCUAGAGUGCAGGAGAGGAAGGUAGAAUUCCCGGUGUAGCGGUGAAAUGCGUAGAGCUCGGGAGGAAUACCAGUGGCGAAGGCGGCCUUCUGGAAUGACACUGACACUGAGGUGCGAAAGCGUGGGUAGCAAACAGGAUUAGAUACCCGAGUAGUC
rnacentral:rRNA from 1 species